AGCGAACGCUGGCGGCAUGCCUAACACAUGCAAGUCGCGCGGUCAGCAAUGGCAGCGGCGGACGGGUGCGUAACGCGUAGGAACGUGUCCUGAGGUGGGGGACAACCCUGGGAAACUGGGGCUAAUACCGCAUAUGGGCUGAGGCCCAAAGCCGAAAGGCGCCUUAGGAGCGGCCUGCGUCCGAUUAGCUAGUUGGUGGGGUAACUGCCUACCAAGGCUCCGAUCGGUAGCUGGUCUGAGAGGACGAUCAGCCACACUGGGACUGAGACACGGCCCAGACUCCUACGGGAGGCAGCAGUGGGGAAUAUUGGACAAUGGGCGCAAGCCUGAUCCAGCAAUGCCGCGUGGGUGAAGAAGGUCUUCGGAUCGUAAAGCCCUUUCGACAGGGACGAUGAUGACGGUACCUGUAGAAGAAGCCCCGGCUAACUUCGUGCCAGCCGCCGCAGUAA
rnacentral:rRNA from 1 species